rnacentral:rRNA from 1 species
UACGUAGGGCGCAAGCGUUGUCCGGAAUUAUUAGGCGUAAAGAGCUCGUAGGCGGUUUGUCGCGUCUGCUGUGAAAACCUAAGGCUCAACCUUGGGCUUGCAGUGGGUACGGGGCAGACUAGAGUGCGGUAGGGGGUGACUGGAAUUCCUGGUGUAGCGGUGGAAUGCGCAGAUAUCAGGAGGAACACCGAUGGCGAAGGCAGUUCUCUGGGCCGUAACUGACG